rnacentral:rRNA from 1 species
GACGAACGCUGGCGGCGUGCUUAACACAUGCAAGUCGAACGGAAAGGCCUAGCUUGCUGGGUACUCGAGUGGCGAACGGGUGAGUAACACGUGGGUGAUCUGCCCCUGACUUUGGGAUAAGCCUGGGAAACUGGGUCUAAUACCGGAUAUUCAUUUUUCCUCGCAUGGGGAUUUGUGGAAAGCUUUUGCGGUUGGGGAUGGGCCCGCAGCCUAUCAGCUUGUUGGUGGGGUAAUGGCCUACUAAGGCGACGACGGGUAGCCGACCUGAGAGGGUGAUCGGCCACACUAGGACGGGGACACGGCCCAGACUCCUACGGGACGCAGCAGUGGGGAAUAGUGCACAAUGGGCGCAAGCCUGAUGCAGCGACGCCGCGUGGGGGAUGACGGCCUUCGGGUUGUAAACCUCUUUCAGCUCCGACGAAGCGAAAGUGACGGUAGGGGCAGAAGAAGCACCGGCCAACUACGUG